AUUUUCUGCCACCGAAUACAUUAGCAUGGGAUAAUGGAAUAGGACCCUGUCCUCCUAUUUUCAGUUGGUUUUGGCAGCGCGAGGACUAGGGUAAUGAUUAAUAGGGAUAGUUGGGGGCAUUAAUAUUUAAUUGUCAGAGGUGAAAUUCUUGGAUUUAUGAAAGAUUAACUUCUGCGAAAGCAUCUGCCAAGGAUGUUUUCAUUAAUCAAGAACGAAAGUUAGGGGAUCGAAGACGAUCAGAUACCGUCGUAGUCUUAACCAUAAACGAUGCCGACCAGCGAUUAGGAGACGUUGAAUACAAAACACCACCAUCGGUGCGGUCGUCCUUGGCGUCGGUCUUUCGGGGCCGGCGCGGGGACGGCUUAGCCCGGUGGCACCGGUGAAUGAC
rnacentral:rRNA from 1 species